rnacentral:rRNA from 1 species
UACGUAGGGGUCUAGCGUUGUCCGGAAUUAUUGGGCGUAAAGAGCUCGUAGGCGGUUCGGCAAGUCGGAUGUGAAAUCUCCACGCUUAACGUGGAGGGGCCAUUCGAAACUGCCGUGACUCGAGUCCGGUAGGGGAGUUCGGAAUUCCCGGUGUAGCGGUGAAAUGCGCAGAUAUCGGGAGGAACACCAGUGGCGAAGGCGGCAUCCUGGACCGACGACUGACGCUGAGGCGCGAAAGCUAAGGGGAG